rnacentral:rRNA from 1 species
AAUCAACGCUGGCGGCGUGCCUCAGACAUGCAAGUCGAACGAUUAAAGCUCUCUUCGGAGAGUGCAUAAAGUGGCGCACGGGUGAGUAACACGUAAGUAAUCUACCUUCGAGUGGGGAAGUAACGUCCGGAAACGGACGCUAAUACCGCAUAAUGCAGCGGCAUCGCAAGAUGACAGUUGUUAAAGAUUUAUCGCUUGAAGAGGAGCUUGCGGCAGAUUAGCUAGUUGGUAAGGUAAUGGCUUACCAAGGCUACGAUCUGUAACCGGUCUAAGAGGACGGUCGGUCACACUGACACUGAAUAACGGGUCAGACUCCUACGGAGGCAGCAGGUCGGGAAUUUUGGCAAUGGGCGAAAGCCUGACCAGCAACGCCGCGUGAAGGAUGAAGUA